UUUCACAUGCUCUUUAUGCUCUUCAAAAAUAAUUACUUUAUGUUACUUAAACGGUUUGUAGCAUUUUUGGACCAACACAAGCUGCCCAGAGGACUGCUACCACGCUACAGAUAGGACAAGCUACACAUUUCACUACACAGAAAGACUUUUCUGUUUUCUGGCGUAGCUUUGUGUGGAGGUCUGAGAUAUAGUUUGCUCCAAGAUUUUACAUCUGAAACAUAUGAAUCUUCUUUAUGUUUGUUUCCAUUCUUGUACACUUUCAGAUCUCAAAUUGAUAGGAAACGGUGCAAUAUUAAAUGAACAGUAAAACUAAUAGUUGUGAUAUUUGCAGCAACAUUUAGGGGAUUAUAGAUUGUUAGAAACUAAUAUUAUAGUAUUUAUAAAUUUUUUGUUUCAGGUAUCCGUGAGUUAUGUGCCCAAGCUGUAAUUGGAAAGCUACUGAUUGGGACUUGGAUGAAAAAAAAAAGCUUUAAAUACCACGCUUUGUUUACUUUCUUCAAAACUUUGUGCUUGUAAAAAUAAUACAACUGCUUUACUCUCCAAAAAGCCUACUGAGGUUCAAAACAAAUUAACAUUAUGGGCCGUUUCUAAUGUCAGUAAAACUUGAUUUGCAAAUGCAGAAUGUCAUGAAGAAAUGAAUUCAAAACUAAUAAAGCGUAUUACUGAGAAAAUUCAAAACGUAAUAAGAUAUUCCCGGAGGAUUACCAAUAUCUAUCUUUAGAUGUCAAUGCUAGAUUUGCUUUAAAAGUCGGCUAUUUUCAUAGCCACUAUUCCGUUAUUCACACUAAUACAUUAAUAAACAUAUGGAAAACAAUAAAUUUAGUUUAAGUUUUAUAUUACAAAGUAUAUUAUAAAACAAAUAAAUCUUUUAUUUAUUA